CCUGGGUUGUGGGGAGAAGGGGUGAGUUCUCGUGGCUCAGGUCUGGCUCUGCUGCUUACGCCACACUUCAGACUGAGGUGCUCCAAGUGGCUGCUGUAUGCAGAAUAUGCGGCUACCAUCUUGAAUGAGGUGUCUACACAAAAGUCAGCUGUGGAAAUUUACCUCUGAGGCAACAUGCACAACCCUUCUGCACAUGCCAGCUAUAGGCAGAUGAAACUGGACUAAGAAGAGUUCACAGAAAAAUAGUCUUACCUCAAAUGAAGUACCUGAUGCUUGAGAUCCCAAGAAAGCAAUUCACACAAUGGAAACCAGGUAAAUGUGGCCAAUGGGAGAUACCUGUAAAUGAUCAGAGGAAAGAAGAGUGAGGGUAAGAUACCAGUUCCCGCAGAUCCCUCCCAGUUUGGUCACUACAGGCUGGCAUCCAGCAAAGCCUAUACUGAGUCUCCAGCAACCGUAUCCAUAUAGCUCUCCUCUCCAGGUUG